rnacentral:rRNA from 1 species
UACGUAGGGUGCAGGCGUUAAUCGGAAUUACUGGGCGUAAAGCGUGCGUAGGCGGUUUGCUAAGACAGGUGUGAAAUCCCCGGGCUUAACCUGGGAACUGCGCUUGUUACUGGCAAGCUGGAGUGUGGCAGAGGGGGGUGGAAUUCCGCGUGUAGCAGUGAAAUGCGUAGAGAUGUGGAGGAACACCGAUGGCGAAGGCAGCCCCCUGGGCUAACACUGACGCUCAUGCACGAAAGCGUGGGGAGCAAACAGG